GGUUAAGCGACUAAGCGUACACGGUGGAUGCCCUGGCAGUCAGAGGCGAUGAAGGGCGUGCUAAUCUGCGAUAAGCGCCGGUAAGGUGAUAUGAACCGUUAUAACCGGCGAUACCCGAAUGGGGAAACCCAGUGUGAUUCGUCACACUAUCAUUAACUGAAUCCAUAGGUUAAUGAGGCGAACCGGGGGAACUGAAACAUCUAAGUACCCCGAGGAAAAGAAAUCAACCGAGAUUCCCCCAGUAGCGGCGAGCGAACGGGGAGGAGCCCAGAGCCUGAAUCAGCAUGUGUGUUAGUGGAAGCGUCUGGAAAGGCGCGCGAUACAGGGUGACAGCCCCGUACACAAAAGCGCAUGUGCUGUGAGCUCGAUGAGUAGGGCGGGACACGUGGUAUCCUGUCUGAAUAUGGGGGGACCAUCCUCCAAGGCUAAAUACUCCUGACUGACCGAUAGUGAACCAGUACCGUGAGGGAAAGGCGAAAAGAACCCCGGCGAGGGGAGUGAAAAAGAACCUGAAACCGUGUACGUACAAGCAGUGGGAGCACCCUUCGGGGUGUGACUGCGUACCUUUUGUAUAAUGGGUCAGCGACUUAUAUUCUGUAGCAAGGUUAACCGUAUAGGGGAGCCGUAGGGAAACCGAGUCUUAACCGGGCGUUAAGUUGCAGGGUAUAGACCCGAAACCCGGUGAUCUAGCCAUGGGCAGGUUGAAGGUUGGGUAACACUAACUGGAGGACCGAACCGACUAAUGUUGAAAAAUUAGCGGAUGACCUGUGGCUGGGGGUGAAAGGCCAAUCAAACCGGGAGAUAGCUGGUUCUCCCCGAAAGCUAUUUAGGUAGCGCCUCGUGAAUUCAUCUCCGGGGGUAGAGCACUGUUUCGGCUAGGGGGCCAUCCCGGCUUACCAACCCGAUGCAAACUGCGAAUACCGGAGAAUGUUAUCACGGGAGACACACGGCGGGUGCUAACGUCCGUCGUGAAGAGGGAAACAACCCAGACCGCCAGCUAAGGUCCCAAAGUCAUGGUUAAGUGGGAAACGAUGUGGGAAGGCCCAGACAGCCAGGAUGUUGGCUUAGAAGCAGCCAUCAUUUAAAGAAAGCGUAAUAGCUCACUGGUCGAGUCGGCCUGCGCGGAAGAUGUAACGGGGCUAAACCAUGCACCGAAGCUGCGGCAGCGAACGUAUCACUUAAAGCGAUUCAGCGGGUUACGAUUGACGGAGCGAAGCGACGUCAAAGCGUAUACAAAGUCGAGUCGGUUUAAGGAUACGUUCGUUGGGUAGGGGAGCGUUCUGUAAGCCUGUGAAGGUGGCCUGUGAGGGUUGCUGGAGGUAUCAGAAGUGCGAAUGCUGACAUAAGUAACGAUAAAGCGGGUGAAAAGCCCGCUCGCCGGAAGACCAAGGGUUCCUGUCCAACGUUAAUCGGGGCAGGGUGAGUCGACCCCUAAGGCGAGGCCGAAAGGCGUAGUCGAUGGGAAACGGGUUAAUAUUCCCGUACUUGGUGUUACUGCGAAGGGGGGACGGAGAAGGCUAUGUUGGCCGGGCGACGGUUGUCCCGGUUUAAGCGUGUAGGUGUGUGUUCCAGGUAAAUCCGGUUCACUUUAACACUGAGGCGUGAUGACGAGGCACUACGGUGCUGAAGCAACAAAUGCCCUGCUUCCAGGAAAAGCCUCUAAGCAUCAGGUAACAUCAAAUCGUACCCCAAACCGACACAGGUGGUCAGGUAGAGAAUACCAAGGCGCUUGAGAGAACUCGGGUGAAGGAACUAGGCAAAAUGGUGCCGUAACUUCGGGAGAAGGCACGCUGACACGUAGGUGAAGUGAUUUACUCACGGAGCUGAAGUCAGUCGAAGAUACCAGCUGGCUGCAACUGUUUAUUAAAAACACAGCACUGUGCAAACACGAAAGUGGACGUAUACGGUGUGACGCCUGCCCGGUGCCGGAAGGUUAAUUGAUGGGGUCAGCGCAAGCGAAGCUCCUGAUCGAAGCCCCGGUAAACGGCGGCCGUAACUAUAACGGUCCUAAGGUAGCGAAAUUCCUUGUCGGGUAAGUUCCGACCUGCACGAAUGGCGUAAUGAUGGCCAGGCUGUCUCCACCCGAGACUCAGUGAAAUUGAACUCGCUGUGAAGAUGCAGUGUACCCGCGGCAAGACGGAAAGACCCCGUGAACCUUUACUAUAGCUUGACACUGAACAUUGAGCCUUGAUGUGUAGGAUAGGUGGGAGGCUUUGAAGCGUGGACGCCAGUCUGCGUGGAGCCGACCUUGAAAUACCACCCUUUAAUGUUUGAUGUUCUAACGUGGACCCGUAAUCCGGGUUGCGGACAGUGUCUGGUGGGUAGUUUGACUGGGGCGGUCUCCUCCUAAAGAGUAACGGAGGAGCACGAAGGUUGGCUAAUCCUGGUCGGACAUCAGGAGGUUAGUGCAAUGGCAUAAGCCAGCUUGACUGCGAGCGUGACGGCGCGAGCAGGUGCGAAAGCAGGUCAUAGUGAUCCGGUGGUUCUGAAUGGAAGGGCCAUCGCUCAACGGAUAAAAGGUACUCCGGGGAUAACAGGCUGAUACCGCCCAAGAGUUCAUAUCGACGGCGGUGUUUGGCACCUCGAUGUCGGCUCAUCACAUCCUGGGGCUGAAGUAGGUCCCAAGGGUAUGGCUGUUCGCCAUUUAAAGUGGUACGCGAGCUGGGUUUAGAACGUCGUGAGACAGUUCGGUCCCUAUCUGCCGUGGGCGCUGGAGAACUGAGGGGGGCUGCUCCUAGUACGAGAGGACCGGAGUGGACGCAUCACUGGUGUUCGGGUUGUCAUGCCAAUGGCACUGCCCGGUAGCUAAAUGCGGAAGAGAUAAGUGCUGAAAGCAUCUAAGCACGAAACUUGCCCCGAGAUGAGUUCUCCCUGAGACUUAGAGUCUCCUGAAGGAACGUUGAAGACGACGACGUUGAUAGGCCGGGUGUGUAAGCGCAGCGAUGCGUUGAGCUAACCGGUACUAAUGAACCGUGAGGCUUAACCUU
rnacentral:rRNA from 1 species